GACGAACGCUGGCGGCGUGCUUAACACAUGCAAGUCGAACGGGCCCGCUCCCUUUUUUGGGGGUGGGUUGAGUGGCGAACGGGUGAGUAUCACGUGAGUAACCUGCCCCCUGCUCCUGGAUAACUGCUUGAAAGGGCGGCUAAUACGGGGUGUGCCGGCUGGUCCGCAUGGGCCUGGUCGGGAUAGUUUCAUCUUCGGGUGUUUCGGUGGGGGAUGGGCUCGCGGCCUAUCAGCUUGUUGGUGGGGUGAUGGCCCACCAAGGCGGUGGCGGGUAGCCGGCCUGAGAGGGUGGGCGGCCACACUGGGACUGAGACACGGCCCAGCCUCCUGCGGGAGGCAGCAGUGGGGGGUAUUGCACAAUGGGCGGAAGCCUGAUGCAGCGACGUCGCGUGAGGGAUGGAGGCCUUCGGGUUGUGAACCUCUUUCUCCGGUGGUGAAGGCCCUGUCCGUUGCGGCGGGGUUGACGGUAGCCGGGUAUGAAGCGCCGGCUAACUACGUG
rnacentral:rRNA from 1 species